rnacentral:rRNA from 1 species
AUGAUUCACCGGAGGCGUGACGACGAACCAGUUCUCUUAUUCUUCUUGUUGCUACUAGUCGUGUCAUUGUUACUGGUGCUCGACGUCGUCGGAGAAUCACCACCGGCAGCGGGAGGAGGAGAGCCGACGGCGGCAUGCGGCAGUAGCAGCUACAACUACCUCGGCGCGCUGCUGCGGCUGAUGAUCCCGUGCAAGGCGGCGGUGGCGCCCUUCAGCCCGGCGCCGCCCACCGACGAGUGCUGCCGGGCGGUGCGCGAGCUGGGGCAGCCCUGCCUCUGCCUGCUCCUCGCCGGCCCGCCCAUCUCCGGCGCCGACCGCCGCAUGCUCACCCGCCUCCCCUCCAUAUGCGCCGCCACCACCGACGACGACGACAGCGACCUGCGUCAAGACGUAGGCUCGUGCACUGCAACGUAG